rnacentral:rRNA from 9 species
UGCCAGUGAUAAACUGGAGGAAGGUGGGGAUGACGUCAAGUCAUCAUGGCCCUUACGACCAGGGCUACACACGUGCUACAAUGGCGCAUACAAAGAGAAGCGACCUCGCGAGAGCAAGCGGACCUCAUAAAGUGCGUCGUAGUCCGGAUUGGAGUCUGCAACUCGACUCCAUGAAGUCGGAAUCGCUAGUAAUCGUGGAUCAGAAUGCCACGGUGAAUACGUUCCCGGGCCUUGUACACACCGCCCGUCACACCAUGGGAGUGGGUUGCAAAAGAAGUAGGUAGCUUAACCUUCGGGAGGGCGCUUACCACUUUGUGAUUCAUGACUGGGGUGAAGUCGUAACAAGGUAACCGUAGGGGAACCUGCGGUUGGAUCACCUCCUUACCUGAAAGAA